rnacentral:rRNA from 1 species
AGUGAACGCUGGCGGUAGGCCUAACACAUGCAAGUCGAACGGCAGCACAGUAAGAGCUUGCUCUUACGGGUGGCGAGUGGCGGACGGGUGAGGAAUACAUCGGAAUCUACUUUUUCGUGGGGGAUAACGUAGGGAAACUUACGCUAAUACAGCAUACGACCUACGGGUGAAAGCAGGGGAUCUUCGGACCUUGCGCGAUUGAAUGAGCCGAUGUCGGAUUAGCUAGUUGGCGGGGUGAAGGCCCACCAAGGCGACGAUCCGUAGCUGGUCUGAGAGGAUGAUCAGCCACACUGGAACUGAAACACGACCCAGACUCCUACGGGAGGCAGCAGUGGGGAAUAUCGGACAAUGGGCGCAAGCCUGAUCCAGCCAUACCGCGUGGGUGAAGAAGGCCUUCGGGUUGUAAAGCCCUUUUGUUGGGAAAGAAAAGCAGCAGGUUAAUACCCCGCUGUUCUGACGGUACCCAAAGAAUAAGCACCGGCUAACUUCGUG